AGUAACGUCCUGCCAAACUCGUCC
rnacentral:siRNA from 1 species